GGCUCAAUGGUCUAGUCGUAUGAUUCGCGCUUCGGGUAUUCCCGAGAUAUCCCACAAUCACGUGACACCUGCGCGAGGCCCCGGGUUCAAUUCCCGGUUGAGCCC
rnacentral:tRNA from 1 species